AUAAAUAAAUUUUUUAUAGUUUAAAGAUUUUAUUAUAAAUUUAUUUUGCAUAUAAAUUUUAGUGUUAAUUAUUAAUUAUUUUAAUAAUAUUUAAUAAUUAUAAGUAGUAAUUAAUAUUAAAAAUUUAAGAAAUUAAGAUUUAGUAAUAUUUAAAUUAAUAACAAAUUUUGUGCCAGCAGUUGCGGUUAAACAAAAAUUAAAUUAAAAUUUAUUAGUAAUUAAUAAUUAAUUAAUUUAAUUUUUAAUUAAAUAUUAGAUUAUAAGGUGAAAUUUUAAUUUAAUUAAAAUUAAAUUUUUAUUUAUGAUUUAAUAAAUUUUAUUUAUAAACUAGGAUUAGAUACCCUAUUAUUAAAAAUUUAAAUUUAUAAUACUAAAAUAGUAUAUAAUUAUUUAUUGAAACUUAAAUAAUUUGGCGGUAUUUUAGUUCAUUUAGAGGAAUCUGUUUAAUAAUUGAUAAUCCACGAAUAAAUUUACUUAAUUUAUUAUUUUGUAUAUCGUUGUUAUAAAAAUAUUUUAAAAUAAGAAUAAUAUUUAAAAAUUUAAAUAAAAAAUUAAAUCAGAUCAAGAUGCAGAUUAUAAUUAAGAAUAUAAUGGAUUACAAUGAAUUUAUUUAUAUGAAUAUUAAUUUGUAAUAAUUAAUUGAAAGUGGAUUUAAAUGUAAUUUUAUUUAAUUUAUUGAAAUGAUUAAAAAUUAAGAUAUGUACAUAUUGCCCGUCGCUUUCAUUAAUAAAUUGGAAUAAGUCGUAACAAAGUAGAGGUACUGGAAAGUGUUUCUAGAAAUAA
rnacentral:ncRNA from 1 species